rnacentral:lncRNA from 1 species
CAGUAGUCCGAGAUUUACAAUUAUUCGAGAUAGAUUUUACUUUGGAAAUGGAAAUGGAAAGUGUUUGGUUUUUGGAAGCGAGGCAAUGAACAGUCAUUCUGAUUUUGAUUCCGAUGCAGUCAUCGAUGCAGUCAUCGAUGCAGUGUUUUUUCUUGAUCUCGUAUCGUGUAUAGCCAAAUUAUCCAUUGAAAAGAUUAAAAACAAAAAUUUAAAACUAACUUUUGGUUUUGUUUUCGUGAUUUAUCAGGUCAUGAUUGCAGCA